UAAUCCACAUCAGCACUGUCAAUUUUCUAUUCUCUCAAUCUUUGAUUCACGUAUCUAUUGUUAUUCCAAUUCCAAAAACGGUUUCAUUUACGUAUCUAUCGCUAUUCCAAUUCCAAAAACGGUUUCACACGUUCUCUUUUUUCUACCGAACUGUUUCUAUUCCAAUUCCAAAACGCGGUCUCUCUUUAUAUCGAUUUGUUUCUUCUUCCUCUCAAUCUUCAUACAAAACUCUCAUCCACUCUCGAUCGUGAACGGUGGUGCAACCUCAUCCUACCGAACUGCAACAACAAUGACUCUGUUUCCUUACUCAGCCUGUCAAUUGUGGCUUCAUCCUUGCUUUCGUCAUCUCUUCGCCGUCAAUUGCUCGAUAUGAUCUUAUGUUUGUUUCUGGUACCGAAAAGUGUUUUAAUUAGUUUAUGUAAUUGAUGAUUUUGUGUGUUCUGUGUAGGUAAUUGUCGUAGUAAAGCCGCUGCAAUGUUUGAUAGCGAUGAUGAUUGUAGCGUGACUUCGUCGCCGACUGCUCGAUCUUAUGUCUAUUUCUGGUACCAAAGAUGUUCAAUUUGAUCAAGAGUCUGUGCUAUGCGAGAUUUUUGAAGAAUUUGUUACUGCUUUGGAUGAAUCAGUUGCUAGAAGUACCUCUAUAUGUGUAAUGGGUUUUCCUGAAUGCAAAAACAAUUGGGAUUUCUACUCAUGGAUUUCUACUCAUGGGGGAACAACCUCUCCCGUUCGAGGAUCAUGCAAUUCCGGCUGCUGACGAUGAGGACUACACUGGCGGCAAUGAUGCCAUGAAUGAAUUGGAGUGGUCGGAUUCCAAAUUGUUGAUAUUUUUUAUCGACUCAAAUGACAAUGGGAUCUAUGAUGAUGUUUUGCUUGGCAUAAUUAGGCAAAUGUUAUUCACUAGCUAUCGAAUGGUUUCCUUCAUUCAAAACAUGAACUCAAAGAUUGGGAUAUCUAAAUAGUGGUCUUCCACACAGACAGCGGUAAGCGGGUUGCAUAUGAUUGGAGUGUCGUGUUCAUAUCUAAGGGGGAAUCUUUCAUAUAUUGGAUUGGGUUUACAUUGUAAAUGCUCACAUAAUCUCUGGUAUUGGAAUCGUGGGUGGACUAAAUUUUAAGGUCUGUAUCGAUAGGACAACAAUACAACACUCCUCAUUCUGUACUACUGUGGCUACUGCGAUGCCAACGUGUUUAAUUUGAUUUUGCUAAUUUGUCGAUUUGCGGGGAUGACAGUUUUCGACGUCAUGACUAUCAUUGGGAAUCAAACAUUUUUGCUAAUGUACUGAUUGAGCACUGAUUGAUUUUAUGCAGGUUUUGACAACUCUCAAAUAGCUCAAGGGUCCUAUAUGCGUAGGAGAGAUGUUUAUGAUUUGCACCAGUGUUCUCGGCCUUCUAUUUUCGACGCCACAACAAAUGGUUUUCAUCCAUUCGACUACUUCUCUGCUUUACUUGACUGUUGCGACGCUGAUAUCGAAGAUUUUAGAACAGGUUUCUGCUGGGUUUCUUCGGUUGGCUUCGACGGAUAUCGAACAUAACAAAAGAAAGGGGAAAAUACAAUGCUCAGUGACCCUCUACAAUAUUUGUUUUACUAUGUCACAAUAGAUGAAUGCUCUUUUGUGUUGAUGUUGAUGUUGGAUUGGUAGACACAAUGACUGAUAAGACGAGAUCUUUAUGGAAGCCGAAGUCUUCUAAGAAGAGUUCGGGUGAAGCUGAGAGUUUCGGAGCUGUUUCCUCUCAUUCUGAGAGGUAUUCUGAUGAACAGGUAUGCUAGGCAUAACAUAUAAACAGACAAAAUAUCAGGUUAAUAGUUAGUACUAAGGAUGCAUCAGUUGUGAUAUGGUUGACUGGAGGGCCAGGUUGUAGCAGUGAACUAUCUUUGAAACCUUAGUUUGACCUGUCAGGGAACAUAUCUAACUGCCACUGCACGCAGUCAUGCUAUAGAUAACAAUUUACUCGAAGGUGCAGUAAUUGGUGACUUCAAUGGGGAAUUCUGGGGUGCCUUCGCGCUUCAUC